GAACGCUGGCGGCGUGCUUGAUACAUGCAAGUCAAGGAGAACAUAAUCUUCGGAUAAUAAGUAAACUGGCGAACGGGUGAGUAACGCGUAAACAACUUGCCUCAGAGAUUGGGACAACAUUGGGAAACCAGUGCUAAUACCAAAUAAUGCAGCGGGCUCUUCGGAGCACAGUUGUUAAAGUAGGCUUCGGCUUACACUUUGAGAUAGGUUUGCGUCCGAUUAGUUAGUUGGUAGGGUAAUAGCCUACCAAGACCAAGAUCGGUAGCUGGUCUGAGAGGAUGAUCAGCCACACUGGAAUUGAGAUACGGUCCAGACUCCUACGGGAGGCAGCAGUAAGGAAUUUUGCACAAUGGGCGAAAGCCUGAUGCAGCAACGCCGCGUGAACGAUGAAGUUUUUAGGAAUGUAAAGUUCUGUCGUAUGGGAAGAGAUCUUUCGAAUGUUAAUACCAUUCGUUAAUGACGGUACCAUACAAGAAAGCAC
rnacentral:rRNA from 1 species